rnacentral:lncRNA from 9 species
GGCUGGUAUUUAUGUAGAUCAGCCUGAGGCCAUUUGCUUAUGUCACAAUCCCUGUGUCCCCACCACUAUCACUAUAUAGGGUGGGGAUUGGCAUCUGGGGAAGUGGCAGGUGGGCUGAUGGACACUCCCUACUUCCAUAGGACCAGCUCCAGAGGCGGUGUCAAAGCAGAGAGCAUCGUCAAGAGAACUGUGAAGUGCUCUGAAGGCUGCCAACAAAAUGUCAAGUCAGCCAGAGAAAGGAAGAGACACCUUUGGAAAAGAGGUUGUUUCCCAUUAGUUUUCAUUCCAUCUCAAUCUGAGCAGCUAACCUGAGGGAGGAAAUAGGAGAGAAUAAAAGGCAUGAAUGCUGAGUAAGCUCUUUACUAGCGGUUUCAGUGGGAAAGGUGCCCCCCUUCAUCCUUGUAAUUCUAAGGGAGACACCCAUAGCUUCAAAGACAACAGAGUGUCUCUGCCUGUAGAACAGAACUUUACAGUGUCAAAAAGAGACUUCAGCACAAAUUUGGGCAGAGGGACAUCUUUUAUGAAUAAACUCAGGCUAACCAAGUGAUUUCUCUGAAGCUCAUCAGAUUUCCAAGGCAAGCAAGAUGCUUAAUCAUGAGGAGUUCUCAUGGUGGCUCAGCAGUAAUGAACCUGACCAGUAUCCAUGAAGACUCAGGUUUGAUCCCUGGCCUCACUCAUUGGGUUUAAGGAUCCAGCACUGCUACAAACUGUGGUGUAUGUUGAAGUCUUGGCUCAGAUCUGGAGUUGCUGUGGCUGUGGCUGUGGCUGGCAGCUACAGCUCUGAUUCGACCCCUAGCCUGGGAACGUCCAUAUGCCAUGACUGUGGCCCUAAAAAUAAAAAAAAAAAAAAAGACGAUUAAUCAUGAAAUAUUCACCGUUAUCAUUGCACAUAUUUUAGAGUGAACACAGAACAGUGAAUUUGUUCCAGGACAGUGAUCUGAUAGUGGGGGCUGGGGGUAGGGGGGAGAGACAGAACCAUGCUGCAUAGACCAGAAAGCCAGGCAGUAGAGAAUGGAUACAGGUGAGUACAGGCCAUUCAAUUCAAGAGUCUCAAUGAGAAACUUCCAUUCCAGUGGAGGAAGUGUCUCGCUGAUGGUGAGAGGAAGUAUUUGGGCAAACUCAUUAAAGACAAACCUAGAAAGCCAUAGGCCCA